UUUAUAAAAGGCAUAAAAAAUAGCCAUUUUCUUUCAUAUGGCUAGCCAAACCAAGAGCAAAGAAGAACAAAGGGAGAAAAGAUAAACAAAAACCCUAGGUGGAAAAUUCAAGGGAAAAUCGGUGAAAAUUCAAGGAAACAAGUGACAAAAGGUAAAAUUUCUUGAUUUUGACUUGUGAUCUACCUUUCCCAUGCAUUUCUCCUCAUUUUCCAUGGUUAAAUUACAUGUUUUCAUGAUGAAUUCAUGGCUGGUUAGAAUGGGUAUGGAGAGAGAAUGAUGUUAGAUUGAUUUGAUUCUAAGUUAUGUUAGUGUUUUUAGUUAGUUAAGCAUGUUUAGAAACAAAACAACAAGAAAAGAAUCCAUUUUUCCCAUGAACCUUCAAUGGCCGAACCCUAUGUGAAGUGUAGAAGUAAUGAAUUGAUUUUGUGAUCAAGUGAAUUGGUUGAAAAAUUGAUGAAAUUAUUAUUUAUGGUGAGAAAAUGGAAUGGGAAAAUUUUUAGUGAUAGUGCACCACAAUGGCCGAAAUUUUCAAGAAGAAUUUUGAGGGUUGUUAGGCUGAAUUUUAGAUUAUUGGAAUUAUAUUUAGUGAAUUGAAAUAUUAGAAAUGAAAUGGAGCAAUUUCGAGCCAUAUCAGACACAAUUGUCAUUUAAUCGAGUAAUAGGCCGAAUUAGGUCAGCACCGCAUUUAAGCAGUAGUCGAAUAAGUUGCAUAUCAUAUCACGCAUAUACACAGAGCCUAAAUUGAUUUUAUAAUGGUCAAGCAUUGAUGUGGUGAAUUAUGUAUUGUACAUUAUGGAUAGGUGGUGAGUAAAUUACACUUGUAAAAGUACAGAGAUUGUGCUUGGAGACUGGGAUUAGGAGUACAUCGACUCCUAGAACUGUGAGUAAACUUAUUAUCAUCUUAAUUAUCUAGAGUAGUUUUAUAUAAUUGUGUGAUUUUAUGGAAAAUGGGUUUAAAUGGUAAAUUGCUAUGUUUUAGGAGAAAUUGUGAUUUUAUAAAAUGAUUUUAUAA
rnacentral:lncRNA from 1 species